rnacentral:rRNA from 1 species
GCAUAUCAAUAAGCGGAGGAAAAGAAACCAACAGGGAUUACCUCAGUAACGGCGAGUGAAGCGGUAACAGCUCAAAUUUGAAAGCUGGCUCUUUUAGGGUCCGCGUUGUAAUUUGUAGAAGAUGCUUCGGGUGUGGCCCCGGUCUAAGUUCCUUGGAACAGGACGUCAUAGAGGGUGAGAAUCCCGUAUGUGACUGGGUGCUUUCGCUCAUGUGAAGCUCUUUCGACGAGUCGAGUUGUUUGGGAAUGCAGCUCAAAAUGGGUGGUAAAUUUCAUCUAAAGCUAAAUAUUGGCCAGAGACCGAUAGCGCACAAGUAGAGUGAUCGAAAGAUGAAAAGCACUUUGGAAAGAGAGUUAAACAGUACGUGAAAUUGUUGAAAGGGAAGCGCUUGCAACCAGACUUGCGCGCUGAUGAUCAUCCGGGCUUCUGCCCGGUGCACUCGUCUGCGCUCAGGCCAGCAUCGGUUUCGGUGGUGGGAUAAAGGCCUUGGGAAUGUAGCUCCCCUCGGGGAGUGUUAUAGCCCUCGGUGCAAUGCCGCCUACCGGGACCGAGGACCGCGCUUCGGCUAGGAUGCUGGCGUAAUGGUUGUAAGCGACCCGUCUUGAAACACGGACCAAGGAGUCUAACAUCUAUGCGAGUGUUUGGGUGUCAAACCCAUACGCGUAAUGAAAGUGAACGGAGGUGAGAACCCUUAAGGGUGCAUCAUCGACCGAUCCUGAUGUCUUCGGAUGGAUUUGAGUAAGAGCAUAGCUGUUGGGACCCGAAAGAUGGUGAACUAUGCGUGAAUAGGGUGAAGCCAGAGGAAACUCUGGUGGAGGCUCGCAGCGGUUCUGACGUGCAAAUCGAUCGUCAAAUUUGCGUAUAGGGGCGAAAGACUAAUCGAACCAUCUAGUAGCUGGUUCCUGCCGA